AUUGAACGCUGGCGGCAUGCCUUACACAUGCAAGUCGAACGGCAGCACGGAGCUUGCUCUGGUGGCGAGUGGCGAACGGGUGAGUAAUAUAUCGGAACGUACCCUAGAGUGGGGGAUAACGUAGCGAAAGUUACGCUAAUACCGCAUACGAUCUAAGGAUGAAAGUGGGGGAUCGCAAGACCUCAUGCUCGUGGAGCGGCCGAUAUCUGAUUAGCUAGUUGGUAGGGUAAAAGCCUACCAAGGCAUCGAUCAGUAGCUGGUCUGAGAGGACGACCAGCCACACUGGAACUGAGACACGGUCCAGACUCCUACGGGAGGCAGCAGUGGGGAAUUUUGGACAAUGGGCGAAAGCCUGAUCCAGCAAUGCCGCGUGAGUGAAGAAGGCCUUCGGGUUGUAAAGCUCUUUUGUCAGGGAAGAAACGGUGAAAGCUAAUAUCUUUUGCUAAUGACGGUACCUGAAGAAUAAGCACCGGCUAACUACGUGCCAGCAGCCGCGGUAAUACGUAGGGUGCAAGCGUUAAUCGGAAUUACUGGGCGUAAAGCGUGCGCAGGCGGUUUUGUAAGUCUGAUGUGAAAUCCCCGGGCUCAACCUGGGAAUUGCAUUGGAGACUGCAAGGCUAGAAUCUGGCAGAGGGGGGUAGAAUUCCACGUGUAGCAGUGAAAUGCGUAGAUAUGUGGAGGAACACCGAUGGCGAAGGCAGCCCCCUGGGUCAAGAUUGACGCUCAUGCACGAAAGCGUGGGGAGCAAACAGGAUUAGAUACCCUGGUAGUCCACGCCCUAAACGAUGUCUACUAGUUGUCGGGUCUUAAUUGACUUGGUAACGCAGCUAACGCGUGAAGUAGACCGCCUGGGGAGUACGGUCGCAAGAUUAAAACUCAAAGGAAUUGACGGGGACCCGCACAAGCGGUGGAUGAUGUGGAUUAAUUCGAUGCAACGCGAAAAACCUUACCUACCCUUGACAUGGCUGGAAUCCUUGAGAGAUCAGGGAGUGCUCGAAAGAGAACCAGUACACAGGUGCUGCAUGGCUGUCGUCAGCUCGUGUCGUGAGAUGUUGGGUUAAGUCCCGCAACGAGCGCAACCCUUGUCAUUAGUUGCUACGAAAGGGCACUCUAAUGAGACUGCCGGUGACAAACCGGAGGAAGGUGGGGAUGACGUCAAGUCCUCAUGGCCCUUAUGGGUAGGGCUUCACACGUCAUACAAUGGUACAUACAGAGCGCCGCCAACCCGCGAGGGGGAGCUAAUCGCAGAAAGUGUAUCGUAGUCCGGGUUGUAGUCUGCAACUCGACUGCAUGAAGUUGGAAUCGCUAGUAAUCGCGGAUCAGCAUGUCGCGGUGAAUACGUUACCGGGUCU
rnacentral:rRNA from 1 species